GCGACCGGCGCACGGGUGAGUAACGCGUAUGCAACCUGCCUGAUACCGGGGUAUAGCCCAUGGAAACGUGGAUUAACACCCCAUAGUACUUUUAUCCUGCCUGGGAUGUGAGUUAAAUGUUCAAGGUAUCGGAUGGGCAUGCGUCCUAUUAGUUAGUUGGCGGGGUAACAGCCCACCAAGACGAUGAUAGGUAGGGGUUCUGAGAGGAAGGUCCCCCACAUUGGAACUGAGACACGGUCCAAACUCCUACGGGAGGCAGCAGUGAGGAAUAUUGGUCAAUGGACGUAAGUCUGAACCAGCCAAGUCGCGUGAGGGAAGACUGCCCUAUGGGUUGUAAACCUCUUUUAUAAGGGAAGAAUAAGUUCUACGUGUAGAAUGAUGCCUGUACCUUAUGAAUAAGCAUCGGCUAACUCCGUGCCAGCAGCCGCGGUAAUACGGAGGAUGCGAGCGUUAUCCGGAUUUAUUGGGUUUAAAGGGUGCGUAGGCGGUUUAUUAAGUUAGUGGUUAAAUAUUUGAGCUAAACUCAAUUGUGCCAUUAAUACUGGUAAACUGGAGUACAGACGAGGUAGGCGGAAUAAGUUAAGUAGCGGUGAAAUGCAUAGAUAUAACUUAGAACUCCGAUAGCGAAGGCAGCUUACCAGACUGUAACUGACGCUGAUGCACGAGAGCGUGGGUAGCGAA
rnacentral:rRNA from 1 species